rnacentral:lncRNA from 1 species
AGCUUCUGUCCCUGUGCUCAAGGGCAUAAGUCUGACAGUUUGGAUAGUUGUUCCUUGUUAUCAUGUACAGGUAUGAAAUAAGAUUAUAAGCAUCUGAUGAAACCUUAGGCCUUUUCCUUUGCUUUAUUGUGCAGCUGGGAGGAUGCCUUGUAGUAUUUCCUACAUUUUGCCAAAGAAUAUUUCUCCUUAGCUCUUAACUUUCUGUCCUAGCAGACCAAAUACAGUUGGCAGGGUACAAGCAGACAGCAACCAAUGAUGUCUGUUCAUAAAAGCACUGCAGACUCAUUCUGUAUAAAGGCAGGUUCUGCUGCAGGCUCCAGCUUGAUACUAAUUCAGAUCCACCUGAGCCCUAUGUUUUGUGAGUAUAAAGCUUGUUGUAGACAUACAGAGCAAGCCUUUAGCUAGCAAAAUCUCACCUUCCUUUCCUGUCUUUAAUGUAUCAUCAUCUGAAAGCCAAGAGCUGUUAUUAUUACACACUGUCAUUAACCAGCACAUGCUGAAUGUGGAGGCAUUGCAGUCAAGUAUAAAAAUCUGGCUGUAGACUCCUGGGACUGAUUUUCCAUGGAGGUGAAAGCAAACCUGUGACAGUCAACAAAUUAGGAAAUUCCUGAUGUGUCACACACUGCUGCGUGCAGGAGCUCUGGGGGAUGUGAUGCAGAAAUAUGGCCCAUUAGCAGAGCUCAUAAGGUGUUGAUGUUCUUGUGGGUGAUACAGGGCAUAAAACGCAGCCAGGCAAUACAACAAACCACAAGCUUGGUGCCUUCAGAAAGUUUGUCUUGCAGUAGCCCCCAUGAAGGGCUGCCACGGUUGAACAUGCAAUUGCUGGAGUGCAACAAUCUGUGUCUCAAACACAGCACGGGCAGCAGUGAUUUGAGCCAGUCCCAUCUCUUCAAUAGGAAGACCAGCUUGUCUGUGGAACGUAUCACUGCCAAAGCAAACUGUGGAAAUCUAAUGAUAUUGCAUAUUGCUCUCAAAGAUGGAGAAAACAUUUGUAAUGCUCCGGCUUAUCACUAAGCUGCCCAGUCACGAAAGAAGUAGCAAGCUGAUGCAUUCAAAUAAUAGCAGGAAAAAUAACAGAAGAGGAGAAAAAUGUUUGAAGAAAUCUCUGCUUGGUGCUAACUUCUCUUAUCAAAAUGACCAAUGCUUUGGCCAGAUCAGUAUGAUUGUAAUAGAAGUUCUGAGAUGUGAUUUGAUGUGAUAUUCAUGGAGGUAUUGUUUGGUAAUCUUAUUCUACUUUUAUAUUUUCUACCAAUCUCUUCCCCUGGUCCAUAGUUACACUGGAAAAAAUAGUAAUUGAGAGUGCAUAUAAU